GCAUAUCAAUAAGCGGAGGAAAAGAAACUAACAAGGAUUCCCCUAGUAACUGCGAGUGAAGCGGGAAGAGCUCAAAUUUGAAAUCUGGCGGUUCUGCCGUCCGAGUUGUAAUCUGGAGAAGCGUUUUCCGUGCCGGACCGUGUACAAGUCCCUUGGAACAGGGCGUCAUAGAGGGUGAGAAUCCCGUCUUUGACACGGACUCCCGGUGCUCUGCGAUGCGCUCUCGAAGAGUCGAGUUGUUUGGGAAUGCAGCUCAAAAUGGGUGGUAAAUUCCAUCUAAAGCUAAAUAUUGGCGAGAGACCGAUAGCGAACAAGUACCGUGAGGGAAAGAUGAAAAGCACUUUGGAAAGAGAGUAAAACAGUACGUGAAAUUGUUGAAAGGGAAACGCUUGGAGUCAGUCGCGUCUUCCGGAACUCAGCCUUGCUUCUGCUAGGUGCACUUUCCGGUUCGACGGGUCAGCAUCGGCUUUGGGAGGCGGACAAAGGCGCGGGGAAGGUGGCAGCUCCGGCUGUGUUAUAGCCCCGCGUUGUACGCGUCUCCCGGGACCGAGGAAUCCGGCGCUCGUCGCCUGGGAUGCUGGCGUAAUGGCUUUAAGCGACCCGUCUUGAAACACGGACCAAGGAGUGCUACAUGCUCGCGAGUGUUUGGGUGGAAAACCCGAGCGCGCAAUGAAAGUGAAAGUCGAGACCCUUUGCGGGGGCACCGACGCCCGAGCCUGAAGUUUACGGACGGCCUUGCGGUAGAGCGAGUAUGUUGCGACCCGAAAGAUGGUGAACUAUUCCUGAGGAGGGCGAAGCCAGAGGAAACUCUGGUGGAGGCUCGUAGCGGUUCUGACGUGCAAAUCGAUCGCAGGACUUGGGUAUAGGGGCGAAAGACUAAUCGAACCAUCUAGUAGCUGGUUCCUGCC
rnacentral:rRNA from 1 species